CAUAUCAAACACCCCUACCCCAAACCACCACAAUUUACCCUAAUCAUUAAUUACCAUUUCACCACCUUCGUCUACCUAGUCUCCCUCUCAAUUCCGUCGCUAACCCUCCCUCAACGGCAGUGUGACACACCGAAACACCACCGUCCCACGCUGUCUCUUCUUCUUGACCAACCCUAGUCAACGUUGCUAACCUGUGUCGCGGGACAAGACUACGCUGCCUACAACCUGCGAGUCCUCCACGACAAGGCUAGACGCUUCCGUCGCCGAUUCGAAUUGCAUUACAACCUAGCCGCCGAGAGGUCAUUAUCUACUGGAACUCAUUGGAUUGCGCUGCCCUCUCCAUCUUUCCACCGGUUCACGCCGACUCCAGUACUGCCUCCAAGACGCGCCGUGCAGUCUCUUCCUCGUACGCCAGCAUUGCUGCUCUAACAGAGAGGAAAAUUGCGCCUGCUCACACUAGGUAUGAGAAGUUGGAAGCGAAGAUGAAGGAAGCUACAACUAACUUGGUCUCUCAAGCAGGUCAGAUAAAGGAACUAAAACUCCAUUUCAGGGAGCGUGAUCAAGAGUUUGCUAGUAGGAAGAGUGCACUGACCUAGUUGAUAACACUUAUUGAUGCUAAGCUUAAACAAAAAAUUUAACUUUUGUUUUUAUGCAUAUGCUUAUUUCGGUCAAAUCUUGAUGAUCAUCUUUGAGAGUUUGGGUGGUUUAAUUAGAUAUUCAUCAAUAAACUUUCUAAGUUUAUAUGAAUGUGCACAUGAUUUUUUUAAGCUACUCAAUUUUUUUGUAGACAUAUUAACAUGAAUGUAAGUUCAAGUGUUGUUACAUC